CGGGCGAGGGGCCGGUCUAAGUCUCUUGGAACGGGGCGUCAUAGAGGGUGAGAAUCCCGUAUGUGACCGGUGACUGAGCCCAUGUGAAACUCCUUCGACGAGUCGAGUUGUUUGGGAAUGCAGCUCAAAAUGGGUGGUAAAUUUCAUCUAAAGCUAAAUACCGGCCAGAGACCGAUAGCGCACAAGUAGAGUGAUCGAAAGAUGAAAAGCACUUUGGAAAGAGAGUCAAAAAGUACGUGAAAUUGUUGAAAGGGAAGCGCUUGCAACCAGACCUGCCCGCGGGUGAUCAACCGUCCUUCUGGGCGGUGCACUCGCCCGCGAUCAGGCCAGCAUCGGUUCGGGCGGUCGGAUAAAGGCCUUGGGAACGUAGCUCCUUUCGGGGAGUGUUAUAGCCCUCGGUGCAAUGCGGCCAGCCUGGACCGAGGACCGCGCUUCGGCUAGGAUGCUGGCGUAAUGGUUGUAAGCGGCCCGUCUUGAAACACGGACCAAGGAGUCUAACAUCUAUGCGAGUGUUUGGGUGUCAAGCCCAUACGCGUAAUGAAAGUGAACGGAGGUGGGAACCCGUUAGGGCGCACCAUCGACCGAUCCAGAUGUCUUCGGAUGGAUUUGAGUACGAGCAUAGCUGUUGGGACCCGAAAGAUGGUGAACUAUGCCUGAAUAGGGUGAAGCCAGAGGAAACUCUGGUGGAGGCUCGCAGCGGUUCUGACGUGCAAAUCGAUCGUCAAAUUUGGGUAUAGGGGCGAAAGACUAAUCGAACCAUC
rnacentral:rRNA from 1 species